rnacentral:rRNA from 1 species
UGCAAGUCGAGCGGACAGAUGGGAGCUUGCUCCCUGAUGUUAGCGGCGGACGGGUGAGUAACACGUGGGUAACCUGCCUGUAAGACUGGGAUAACUCCGGGAAACCGGGGCUAAUACCGGAUGGUUGUUUGAACCGCAUGGUUCAGACAUAAAAGGUGGCUUCGGCUACCACUUACAGAUGGACCCGCGGCGCAUUAGCUAGUUGGUGAGGUAACGGCUCACCAAGGCGACGAUGCGUAGCCGACCUGAGAGGGUGAUCGGCCACACUGGGACUGAGACACGGCCCAGACUCCUACGGGAGGCAGCAGUAGGGAAUCUUCCGCAAUGGACGAAAGUCUGACGGAGCAACGCCGCGUGAGUGAUGAAGGUUUUCGGAUCGUAAAGCUCUGUUGUUAGGGAAGAACAAGUGCCGUUCAAAUAGGGCGGCACCUUGACGGUACCUAACCAGAAAGCCACGGCUAACUACGUGCCAGCAGCCGCGGUAAUACGUAGGUGGCAAGCGUUGUCCGGAAUUAUUGGGCGUAAAGGGCUCGCAGGCGGUUUCUUAAGUCUGAUGUGAAAGCCCCCGGCUCAACCGGGGAGGGUCAUUGGAAACUGGGGAACUUGAGUGCAGAAGAGGAGAGUGGAAUUCCACGUGUAGCGGUGAAAUGCGUAGAGAUGUGGAGGAACACCAAU